GACGAACGCUGGCGGCGUGCCUAAUACAUGCAAGUCGAACGCAGUGGGGACGGGUGAGUAACACGUGGGUAACCUCCCAUCAGAGGGGAUAACACUUGGAAACCGGUGCUAAACCGAUACUGAUGGAUGGACCCUCCGUGCAUUAGCUAGUUGGUGGGGUAACGGCUCACCAAGGCCACGAUGCAUAGCCGACCGGAGGGAGUGAGCGGCAACACUGGGACUGAGACAGGACCCAGACGCCGACGGGAGGAGGCAGUAGGGAAUCUUCGGAAAUGGACGAAAGUCUAACCGGGCAACGCCGCGUGGGUGUAGAAGGUUUUCGGAUCGUAAGCCUCGGUUGUCAGAGAAGCGUUACCUAACCAGAAAGCCACGGCUAACUACGUGCCAGCAGCCGCGGUAAUAC
rnacentral:rRNA from 1 species